CCUACGGGUGGCAGCAGUGAGGAAUAUUGGUCAAUGGGCGGAAGCCUGAACCAGCCAAGUAGCGUGCAGGAUGACGGCCCUACGGGUUGUAAACUGCUUUUAUACGGGAAUAACGCGCCUUACGUGUAGGGCUUUGCAUGUACCGUAUGAAUAAGGACCGGCUAAUUCCGUGCCAGCAGCCGCGGUAAUACGGAAGGUCCGGGCGUUAUCCGGAUGUAUUGGGGUUAAAGGGAGCGUAGGCCGCAUGUCAAGCGUGCUGUGAAAUGUCCGGGCUCAACCCGGGCCUUGCAGCGCGAACUGGCGUGCUUGAGUGCGCGGAAGGCAGGCGGAAUUCGUCGUGUAGCGGUGAAAUGCUUAGAUAUGACGAAGAACACCGAUUGCGAAGGCAGCUUGCUGCAGCGGAACUGACGCUGAUGCUCGAAAGCGUGGGUAUCGAACAGGAUUAGAUACCCGGGUAGUC
rnacentral:rRNA from 1 species